rnacentral:tRNA from 1 species
GGGGCUGUGGCCUAGCCAGGUAGGGCGAUGGGCUCCAGCGGUAUAUUUGAUGAUGAGCAACGGGUCUGCUGAGAUCUCUCGACGGGGAGGUCGUUGAUGAUCCGUUGGAGCACUGAAAUGGGUUGUUACGGCGGUGAAAUCGCUGUAAGAACUUCAGUAUCGGAGAUACCCGUCGAUCGUGAGUUCGAAUCUCACCAGCCCCA